rnacentral:pre_miRNA from 1 species
GUCACUGUUAUUCUGCACAGAGAUACAACGUAAUAUCUUGUGCGUGUGACAGUGACAA